GUCGUUGGUGAACCAGCGGAGGGAUCAUUA
rnacentral:rRNA from 1 species